rnacentral:tRNA from 1 species
GAGGGUGUGGCUCAGUGGCAGAGCCCAUGCUUAGAAUGCACGGGGUCCUGGUUCAAUUCCCAGUGCCUCCA